rnacentral:rRNA from 1 species
AAGGAUUUUAGCGGGAAGCCUUCUUUGGGAUGAGUAUUCCCACCCCCUUUGAGGGGUUAAGGCUCCCAGUAGACGACUGGGUUGAUAGGCCAGGUGUGGAAGACCGGUAACGGUUGGAGCUGACUGGUACUAAUAGGCCGAGGGCUUGUCCUC